rnacentral:rRNA from 1 species
UACAGAGGUGGCAAGCGUUGUUCGGAAUUACUGGGCGUAAAGGGCGCGUAGGCGGCCUUCUAAGUCAGACGUGAAAUCCCCGGCUUAACCUGGGAACUGCGUCUGAUACUGGGAGGCUUGAGUAUGGGAGAGGGAUGUAGAAUUCCAGGUGUAGCGGUGAAAUGCGUAGAUAUCUGGAGGAAUACCGGUGGCGAAGGCGGCAUCCUGGACCAUAA